rnacentral:misc_RNA from 1 species
UCCGGCUUGUCGCCGGCGGUCCCUUUAGAGUGCCCAACUGAAUGAUGGCAACUAAAGGAGAGGGUUGCGCUCGUUGCGGGACUUAACCCAACAUCUCGCGGCACGAGCUGACGACAGCCAUGCAGCAUCUGUGCACGGGUCCCGAAGGAGGACCCCAUCUCUGGGGCUUUCCCGUGUAUGUCAAGCCCUGGUAAGGUUCUUCGCGUUGCGUCGAAUUAAACCACACGCUCCGCUGCUUGUGCGGGCCCCCGUCAAUUCCUUUGAGUUUUAGCCUUGCGGCCGUACUCCCCAGGCGGGGCACUUAAUGCGUUAGCUUCGGCACGGAGGGAGUCGACACCCCCCACACCUAGUGCCCAUCGUUUACAGCGUGGACUA